AAGAUACCUUGGGAUGGUGAGAGGUAACCUUAUUAUUGGGAAGCACUUCACAUCUGCGUUGAAGGUCACGUUGCAGCAGGCACAGAGCCCUCACGCCAACACUGACUUCAAGACAGUAUGCUGCUGAAUAUGCAAUAACGCAGGGUCAUCACCACCUCCCAACCACUUCGCCUGAAGACACCUGUGUUGCCUCCAGUCUGUGCAGCCCCUCUAACACUGAUGCCACCAGCGCUGUAUCCUACACUUAACCAUGGAUCACCACUGCUGAUUCCACCUGCGACGUUGCAGAAGAAGCCAGCACGACCACCAGCAUCACCUGAUGGCCCAGGGGUCUCGACGCCUUGAUCACCUGCCUCCUCCAUAAGCCUCCAUCACAGGCCCUGUCUCCAUCACCAUCAUUGUUGGUAUUGGUCUUACAUGACAAAGCCAUUCUCUGCAGAACUGCAAUACUGUCUUGGUAUUGCAUUACAGUACAGGGCAAUAUUGUAUGUAGUAUGCUUUACAUGUAGUACGCUAUGUUUACAUUUUUUCAUGUACACAUGUAUUACAUUUAUUCCCGUAAUACUGUAUUACGAACUACAGGCAUUUCAUAACUCAUGCUAUAUAAUUGAAGGGCCCAUUCAGACAUCAAUAGACUUGCAUAAUCCAUGUUUUCAGGGAUUAAUAUGGUAAAUGGUAAAUGGCCUAAAUGAGGGGCCUUUUGUUGAUAGCAAGGAUACAAUUGCAUAGUCUUAUGCUUUGGGGGCCCUGUGGCAUAUUACAGACAAUGAUGUUUCCUUCUGGGGCCUGUAACUGUAACACAUGGAUGCAUUUGAAAACCUAUGUGCCUAAAGCCACUAGGCCAAUACAGUAAUCUGUCCUUGACCACCACCACCAUUGCUGCUGAUCCCCAGCAUCAUCACCAACAUCAUCGCAGCCACCAGACAGCAGGGAGCUCGGCAUUCAAGGGCGGCGGCGCAGACACCGGGCAACACAAGAGAACCAAAAGGCACCUUGUGCAUUACGUCUAUCUCCCAAAAGAGAGGGCUGGGGCUCCUCGUUGUAUUACAGUUGUACCAUCUAAUAAAAUACAUGUGAUUAUUUUUGCACAUAUUUUUGUGUUGCAUUUUCUCUAUCCUAGUUUUCAAAGGGACUCAUUCAUCGUCAAUCUAGUUUACCUGUAUGUUGUCCUCUUAUGCCACUAGGUGGCAUACUGUGCUGGUGUAAAGGACCUGUAGGCUAUGUGCUGUUGGUCUUGCCGACAUGUGGUGCAAGUCAAUUAAAUUCAAAUGUGAUCUUCAUAGAAAAAAAAA